AUCCAGCUGACGAGCCCCACAUAGGACGAAACGCGCGUCGAACUGGAC
rfam:Schistosoma mansoni strain Puerto Rico chromosome 1, complete genome